GACGAACCACACGAACGUUAUUCGGAAUCACUGGGCUUAAAGGGUGCGUAGGCGGCGCGGAAAGUAGGGUGUGAAAUCCCUCGGCUCAACCGAGGAACUGCGCUCUAAACUACCGUGCUCGAGGGAGGUAGAGGUGAGCGGAACUUAGGGUGGAACGGUGAAAUGUGUUGAUAUCCUAAGGAACACCGGUGGCGAAAGCGGCUCACUGGAUCUCUUCUGACGCCGAGGCACGAAAGCUAGGGUAGCGAACGGG
rnacentral:rRNA from 1 species